rnacentral:tRNA from 1 species
AGUAAGAAGAAAAUCCGUCGACUUUAG